AGAGUUUGAUCCUGGCUCAGAACGAACGCUGGCGGCGUGGAUAAGACAUGCAAGUCGUACGAGUGGCUUCGGCCACUGAGUGGCGCACGGGUGAGUAACGCGUGAGUCAUCUGCCCCUGAACAGGGAUAGCCCCGGGAAACUGGGAUUAAUACCUGAUGGUCUCGCAAGAGUAAAGCAGCAUGCGCUCAGGGAAGAGCUCGCGUCCUAUUAGUUAGUUGGCGGGGUAACGGCCCACCAAGCGAUGACGGGUAGCCGGUCUGAGAGGAUGUCCGGCCACACUGGAACUGAGACACGGUCCAACACCUACGGGUGGCAGCAGUCGAGAAUCAUUCACAAUGGGCGAAAGCCUGAUGGUGCGAGCCGCGUGGGGGAAGAAGGUCUUCGGAUUGUAAACCCCUGUCAUGUAGGAGCAAGACGCAGUUUGAUAGUACUACAAGAGGAAGAGACGGCAAACUCUGUGCCAGCAGCCGCGGUAAUACGAGGUCUCAAGCGUUGUUCGGAAUCACUGGGCGUAAAGGGUACGUAGGCUGCCGGAUAAGCGUGCGUGAAAGGCAGGGGCUCAACCUCUGGAGUGCGCAUGAUACUGUUUGGCUGGAGUGUGGAGGGGGAACCGGAAUUCUUGGUGUAGCAGUGAAAUGCGUAGAUAUCAAGAAGAAGACCGUGGCGAAGGCGGGUUCCUGGGACAUUCACUGACGCUGAGGUACGAAGCUAGGGUAGCGAAGGGAUUAGAUACCCCUGUAGUCCUAGCAGUAAA
rnacentral:rRNA from 1 species